CACCACCAUCAUCACCACCAUCAUCACCAUCAUCACCACCAUCACCAUCAUCACCACCGUCACCACCAGCACCAGCACAGUUCUCCCCUGUAGCUGGGCUGUCUUCCGUGCAGCAUCUGCCCCCCCACUGGUAUUGAGCCGGGGCCAGUGGAGAUGCUGAACGGCCCUGGUAGGGGGUCUGGUGCCUCCUAGAGGGCUUUCCCAUAACUCCACCCGCCCCGUAACCUGUGCCCUCCUGUGUCCUUGCCCAAGUGCCAGCUGAGGCCUGGAGGAUUCAGUGCCCCAGGUCCCCCUGACCCUAACCCAGCCCAGGGCUGGGGACACAGGGAGCCCAGGGCUGGGGGGCUCAGGGCUGGGGGUGGGGCAGCUCUUUACCCCCAGGGUUUGGAAAGGCCCAGAGUCGUUUCCUACUUGCUUGCCGCCCCCCCUUCCCAGGAAGAAAUGGAGGCUGAUGGUUGUAUGCUGGGGCGGGAGCUUCUCCUCUGAACCCUGCUCUCCUUGUGCCUCAGGCUGCCAGGAGCCCACCAUCAGCCGUCCUUGGCCCGAAGAGAACACUGCAGUGGGACACGCAGGCUGGAAACACAUGGCAACACGCAGCCCUGAGCCCCGCGAGGUCUGCUCCUUCCCUCCUGAGCAUUGGGCUCCCUGCCCCAUGGGGAUGGCACAGACACCGAGGGGGCAGAGGGGGUGACGCACUGCCGGUGCCUGAGGACACACCGCUACCCCCCUUCAGCCCAGCAAGAGGGCCCACCGCCCCCGCCAACAGGCAAGGCAUCCCCGGGCCAGGAUGUGUGUCCGUGUGGGGUCCGCACCCCACCUCAGGACCACCUGCGGUCACCUGGGACUCCACCUCCACCCACAGGGCCCAGGGCCCAUGUCCCAGCCACACCUCUGUGCUGCAUCCUUCUGCGACAUGGACAGGCCAUAGGGGUCACUCCCCCGGGCUGGCUGGUGGCUGGUGCAUGGCGAUUGGACAGCGCAGCCGUGGGCUUGACCAUCCACGGGCAGCUUGUGCGAAGCGACGGGGCCGCAGCCACGGACGGGGCCAGACCCUCCUGUCCUGAUACUCGUUUUGGGCCCAGGACUCAGGAAUCCAAGCUCACGGACCAGUUUCCCAGGCGAAUGCAUCGGUAUUUUCUCAUUACCUAUCAGGUCAGUGGCAAAGGGAAUCUUGGACGCCACCUGGAAAUGCAGUGAGAUGGUUUCAGGAAUCCGGGAAUACACAGCCGCUAACACCAAGACGGCUUCGGGUGCAGCACACUCGUGCCCCACACGCUGGGGUCCCCGACCCUUGGCCUGGGCUGACCGGCGGUGCAGGGUGAGGCCAGAGCGCAGGACACGGGGCAGGUGGACGGCUGCUCAGCGGCCCGGGGGUGCCGGCGCAACAGACAGAAACACACUCUCCAGGGGCCCCGCGCCUCUCGUACAGCCCUGUGUUAAAUCACUAAGUCAAGCUAACACACGAGGGCUCACACCUGACUAAUAAAGUGGGGAAAGUAGAAAAAGCCUCGCUGUCGGAAAACCUGAAUGACACAACAAACUGACACCAACAAACUGAAAACGUGCAAGAAGUAACUCAGUGCUGGCUUUUCUGCUACAGAAAGACCGCUGCGACUCCGCGUGAGAAGGAGGGCCUCCUGCACGCAUGUGGGUACAGCUGGAGCUUAGGUGUGUCCCACUAACUAGCCCAUUGGAGAGAGCUAGCAAGCUCCGAUGCUCUCAGGGACCCUGCGAGCUCCAGAGGGCUACCGUCCAGCACCUGCAGGAUGCUUUCUCUACUCUCCUCAGCAGCUGCCACGGGUUUUACUGGGCGGAGGGGCCGUGUCCAGGGGCAGAGGAAGACAGGGUAGUUCUGUCGUGGUUCUGGAAACUCUCCGUAAGAAUUCACAGGCCACCUCAAUUUAUUUUGAAAACAACAAAUUCCUUAAAACUUCUAGGUUGCAGCAUUACACAAAAUAUGUUUAAAUAGCGCUACAAAUGCUAGCGAAUUCCUCAUUUCUAGGGCCUGCGGAAGUCACACCUGGAUUUCUGGUCAGCUGGACCUGGUGUGUCUCAUCUGGAUUUGCUCAUCCACCUCCUCAAAGUGGCCCUCCUCCAUCUCCCACCCGAUUCCCCUUUCCCUGUUCUCCAUCUACCAGGUUUGCCUUUCCAGAACCUUCCUUUCUCCUCCUCCCUCCUUGGGCCACGACUGGAUGUCUGGUUGGAGCCCUCCUGCGCCCUGACCUCCUCGGCUCCCGCCCAGAGGCCCACCGCCCUGGGAUCCCACGCCAGGCCCCAUGCUGCCAAGGGUGCCCGACACCCUGCUGCCGGGGGUAUGUCCUCACUGCUCUGCUGGGGUGCCCGGGGCUUCCUGAGAACCUGUGACCUCUGCCACGUCCCACACCAGCCAUCCCGUGGCAGCCUUGUCCUGCCCCGGGGCCCUGGUACGAUUCUGCCUUCAGCGCCAGAAACUGGGGGCUGUGCGCCCAUGUAACAAGGACGCGAGUGGAAACACACCAGGGCCCUCGACCAGUGCUGCCCGCUGCUGCCCCCGCCCCCGAAUGGACCAGUCUGAGAACCAGACCGAGCCUGCCCUCCUCAGGAAGCUUUAGACCUGUGCUUGUACGUCUGUGUGUGUCAGGGCAGCACAGCUGCUGUAGGGACAGGGGAGAAGAGCUAGUGCUGAAGCCACCAGGUGUACUUCUUAAAGGCAGACAUUUAAUUUUAUCUUUAAAACCAUUAAAAAAGUAUAUGAUUUGGACUGAAAGCCCAGCCGUAUUGUACUGUUAUCACAAAGUACAGAGGAGGAAGGACCUUGCACCCCGAGGAGCAGGCAAGGAGGACGGGGCCGUGUUCGUGGCUGUGAGCGUGGCUCGACCCCGAGUUGUUUGGUUUUUGGUUUGGUUUUGUUUUUUACUUUUUGGCUGUGCUCUGUGGCACGUGGGACCUUAGUUCCCUGACCAGGGAUAGAACCCGGGCCCCCUACACCGGAAGUGCAGAGUCUAAACCACUGGACGGCCGGGGAAGUCCCUUGACCCCGAGUUUUAUAUGUUGAGUGUCAAGCAGACGAGGGAUAUUCUUCAGGCCAAUAAAAUGGAUUCAGAGGUCGCUGGCACAGCUGCCGGGUUUAGAGCAGUGUGAAAAAUGAAAAGGCAACGCUUUUUAAAAAGUGGGUGAUGAGUCAGGAGGCUCAGGCCCCCUGCCCACGCGGGAGGCAUCUUCCCUUGCCUUCCUCCUUUCAGGCUCCGGGGGGCAGGACGUGGGUGACCCCACAGAGCGCAUGGGUGCAGCCGGAACGCGGGAGGGCCUGGCGCGGCCGGGGGACAGAGGCUGCGGUGGGCAUGCAGAUGCUGCUGAAAUCCACAGACCCACGUCUUUGUACGGACAGGCCUGUGAUCUGACUGCUUUAUUUCUGCGAGGCGGGACACCAGAAGUCUUCCAAGAAAUCAGUGUUUUUAACUUUACUAGACAUUUUCCAAGCAGCUGGCGCCCUGGCAGCAGCAGUGGCCGGGAGCCUGCUGCCCGAGGCCUCCGCUCUGCCCGCCGCUUCCCGAGCGCUGUUUACACCCAGAGCUCCGAGCAGCCGUGCUUCUUUUCUGAAUUUACCGCCACUGGGGCUUCCUCACCUGUGAACUGCCUAUCCUACCCUUUGCCUGUUUCUCUACUGCAUUCUUUAAUUUAAAAAAUCUACUUGUGGUUUUUCUUUACAUUUUAGAUAUUAAACUUUUGUUACAACAUAUGUCACAAAU